AUGAUCGUUAUGGUGAGUUACACGCAUAUGAUAACAAUUCUAAUAUAUUUCCUAAAAAGAAAAAAACAGAAUGUCAUUUUUCGUUUUUCAAAUCCUCUUCAUCUCUCUUCUCUCGCCAAAAACACAAACCCUAGACCCUCCCUCCUUUCAACAGUAGCUCCAAUUUGCGCUACCCCUCUCUGUCACCACGAAAACACUUUGCAAACCCUUCAUCUCUUACAUGAAACACGACAAUAA